UAUAUACAGGGGGUACCGGUACAGAGUCAAUGUGGAGGCUAUAUACAGGGGGUACCGGUACAGAGUCAAUGUGGAGGUUAUAUACAGGGGGUACCAGUACAGAGUCAAUGUGGAGGUUAUAUACAGGGGGUACCAGUACAGAGUCAAUGUGGAGGUUAUAUACAGGGGGUACCGGUACAGAGUCAAUGUGGAGGUUAUAUACAGGGGGUACCAGUACAGAGUCAAUGUGGAGGCUAUAUACAGGGGGUACCAGUACAGAGUCAAUGUGGAGGUUAUAUACAGGGGGUACCAGUACAGAGUCAAUGUGGAGGUUAUAUACAGGGGGUACCAGUACAGAGUCAAUGUGGAGGUUAUAUACAGGGGGUACCGGUACAGAGUCAAUGUGGAGGUUAUAUACAGGGG
ensembl:lncRNA